ensembl:lncRNA
AUGGAUAGACACCUUUUGAAGGAGACGUUCAGCCUGUAUUGUCUCUGUACACAAUUAAAACUUUCGCGUAAUUAUAUUGUUUUGCAUUGUUUAAAGGGACCACCUGGAAUGGAAGGACUUGAUGGCAAAGAUGGAAAACCAGGUUUAAGGGGUGAACCAGGAAUGCCUGGCUCUGCUGGACCCAGGGGAAUGCCGGGUUUCAAGGGCAUCAAAGGACACACAGGUCUCCCAGGAAUGAAAGGAGAUAUGGGACCUCAGGGACCUGCUGGAGCAGCGGGAAGGUCUGGUCUAGAGGUAAGCUGUCUUCUAUUAGAUAUAUUGCCACUGCAUCUGUGCUAUAAAUUUCCCUACAAAUGCUCUAUAGAUUUCAGAUAA